AUUCACUCUGGCGGCGUGCCUCAUACAUGCAAGUCGCGCGAACAGACGAGGAGCUUGCUCCUCUGACGUUAGCGGCGGACGGGUGAGUAACACGUGGAUAACCUACCUAUAAGACUGGGAUAACUUCGGGAAACCGGAGCUAAUACCGGAUAAUAUAUUUAACCGCAUGGUUCAAUAGUGAAAGACGGUUUUGCUGUCACUUAUAGAUGGAUCCGCGCCGCAUUAGCUAGUUGGUAAGGUAACGGCUUACCAAGGCAACGAUGCGUAGCCGACCUGAGAGGGUGAUCGGCCACACUGGAACUGAGACACGGUCCAGACUCCUACGGGAGGCAGCAGUAGGGAAUCUUCCGCAAUGGGCGAAAGCUUGACGGAGCAACGCCGCGUGAGUGAUGAAGGUCUUCGGAUCGUAAAACUCUGUUAUUAGGGAAGAACAAAUGUGUAAGUAACUAUGCACGUCUUGACGGUACCUAAUCAGAAAGCCACGGCUAACUACGUG
rnacentral:rRNA from 1 species